rnacentral:rRNA from 1 species
UACAGAGGGUGCAAGCGUUAAUCGGAAUUACUGGGCGUAAAGCGUGCGUAGACGGUUACAUAAGUCGGGUGUGAAAGCCCCGGGCUCAACCUGGGAAUUGCAUUCGAGACUGCGUAGCUAGGGUGCGGAAGAGGGAAGCGGAAUUUCCGGUGUAGCGGUGAAAUGCGUAGAGAUCGGGAGGAAUACCAGAGGCGAAGGCGGCGAACUGGACAGUUACUGACACUCAACUACGAAAGCGUGGGGAGCAAACAGG